CUGUAUUAACACAAGAGGUAGCACUCUUCCUCUCCCCUGCCUUUUCCCAUCUCUUCCUCUCCCCUGCCUUUUCUCCCUCUCCUACUUCUUCAUUAUCCUCUCUCACUGCUGUUUGUGUCAGGGCAGGGCCAUUACCACAGGGGGUGCACCUUGCAUCCCCUCUCUCACUCCUGUCUGUGUCAGGGCAGGGCCAUUACCACAGGGGGUGCACCUUGCAUCUCCUCUCUCACUGCUGUUUGUGUCAGGGCAGGGCCAUUACCACAGGGGGUGCACCUUGCAUCUCCUCUCUCACUCCUGUCUGUGUCAGGGCAGGGCCAUUACCUCAGGGGGUGCUCCUUGCAUCUCCUCUCUCACUGCUGUUUGUGUCAGGGCAGGGCCAUUACCACAGGGGGUGCACCUUGCAUCUCCUCUCUCACUCCUGUCUGUGUCAGGGCAGGGCCAUUACCACAGGGGGUGCACCUUGCAUCUCCUCUCUCACUGCUGUUUGUGUCAGGGCAGGGCCAUUACCACAGGGGGUGCACCUUGCAUCUCCUCUCUCACUCCUGUUUGUGUCAGGGCAGGGCCAUUACCACAGGGGGUGCACCUUGCAUCUCCUCUCUCACUCCUGUCUGUGUCAGGGCAGGGCCAUUACCUCAGGGGGUGCUCCUUGCAUCUCCUCUCUCACUCCUGUCUGUGUCAGGGCAGGGCCAUUACCACAGGGGGUGCUCCUUGCAUCUCCUCUCUCACUGCUGUUUGUGUCAGGGCAGGGCCAUUACCACAGGGGGUGCUCCUUGCAUCUCCUCUCUCACUCCUGUUUGUGUCAGGGCAGGGCCAUUACCACAGGGGGUGCACCUUGCAUCUCCUCUCUCACUCCUGUCUGUGUCAGGGCAGGGCCAUUACCACAGGGGGUGCACCUUGCAUCUCCUCUCUCACUCCUGUCUGUGUCAGGGCAGGGCCAUUACCACAGGGGGUGCACCUUGCAUCUCCUCUCUCACUCCUGUCUGUGUCAGGGCAGGGCCAUUACCACAGGGGGUGCACCUUGCAUCUCCUCUCUCACUCCUGUCUGUGUCAGGGCAGGGCCAUUACCACAGGGGGUGCACCUUGCAUCUCCUCUCUCACUCCUGUCUGUGUCAGGGCAGGGCCAUUACCACAGGGGGUGCACCUUGCAUCUCCUCUCUCACUCCUGUCUGUGUCAGGGCAGGGCCAUUACCACAGGGGGUGCACCUUGCAUCUCCUCUCUCACUCCUGUCUGUGUCAGGGCAGGGCCAUUACCACAGGGGGUGCACCUUGCAUCUCCUCUCUCACUGCUGUUUGUGUCAGGGCAGGGCCAUUACCACAGGGGGUGCUCCUUGCAUCUCCUCUCUCACUCCUGUUUGUGUCAGGGCAGGGCCAUUACCACAGGGGGUGCACCUUGCAUCUCCUCUCUCACUCCUGUCUGUGUCAGGGCAGGGCCAUUACCACAGGGGGUGCACCUUGCAUCUCCUCUCUCACUCCUGUCUGUGUCAGGGCAGGGCCAUUACCACAGGGGGUGCACCUUGCAUCUCCUCUCUCACUCCUGUCUGUGUCAGGGCAGGGCCAUUACCACAGGGGGUGCACCUUGCAUCUCCUCUCUCACUCCUGUCUGUGUCAGGGCAGGGCCAUUACCACAGGGGGUGCACCUUGCAUCUCCUCUCUCACUCCUGUCUGUGUCAGGGCAGGGCCAUUACCACAGGGGGUGCACCUUGCAUCUCCUCUCUCACUCCUGUCUGUGUCAGGGCAGGGCCAUUACCACAGGGGGUGCACCUUGCAUCUCCUCUCUCACUCCUGUCUGUGUCAGGGCAGGGCCAUUACCACAGGGGGUGCACCUUGCAUCUCCUCUCUCACUCCUGUCUGUGUCAGGGCAGGGCCAUUACCACAGGGGGUGCACCUUGCAUCUCCUCUCUCACUCCUGUCUGUGUCAGGGCAGGGCCAUUACCACAGGGGGUGCACCUUGCAUCUCCUCUCUCACUCCUGUCUGUGUCAGGGCAGGGCCAUUACCACAGGGGGUGCACCUUGCAUCUCCUCUCUCACUCCUGUUUGUGUCAGGGCAGGGCCAUUACCACAGGGGGUGCACCUUGCAUCUCCUCUCUCACUCCUGUCUGUGUCAGGGCAGGGCCAUUACCACAGGGGGUGCACCUUGCAUCUCCUCUCUCACUGCUGUUUGUGUCAGGGCAGGGCCAUUACCACAGGGGGUGCACCUUGCAUCUCCUCUCUCACUGCUGUUUGUGUCAGGGCAGGGCCAUUACCACAGGGGGUGCACCUUGCAUCUCCUCUCUCACUGCUGUUUGUGUCAGGGCAGGGCCAUUACCACAGGGGGUGCACCUUGCAUCUCCUCUCUCACUCCUGUCUGUGUCAGGGCAGGGCCAUUACCACAGGGGGUGCUCCUUGCAUCUCCUCUCUCACUCCUUACCUCACCUUUUCUUUUAUCUUCCUCCCUUACACCUGUCCUCUCUCCCUCCCUUACACCUGUUCUCUCUCCCUCCCUUACACCUGUCCUCUCUCCCUCCCUUACACCUGUCCUCUCUCCCUCCCUUACACCUGUCCUCUCUCCCUCCCUUACACCUGUCCUCUCUCCCUCCCUUACACAUGUCCUCUCUCCCUCCCUUACACCUGUCCUCUCUCCCUCCCUUACACCUGUCCUCUCUCCCUCCCUUACACCUGUCCUCUCUCCCUCCCUUACACCUGUCCUCUCUCCCUCCCUUACACCUGUCCUCUCUCCCUCCCUUACACCUGUCCUCUCUCCCUCCCUUACACAUGUCCUCUCUCCCUCCCUUACACAUGUCCUCUCUCCCUCCCUUACACAUGUCCUCUCUCCCUCCCUUACACCUGUCCUCUCUCCCUCCCUUACACCUGUCCUCUCUCCCUCCCUUACACCUGUCCUCUCUCCCUCCCUUACACCUGUCCUCUCUCCCUCCCUUACACCUGUCCUCUCUCCCUCCCUUACACCUGUCCUCUCUCCC
rnacentral:lncRNA from 1 species